ACUUAGGGAAUCAGGCUUAGAAAAGAAAAUGUGAACCUGUAAGAGUUCUAGGUCAGGAAUCCUGAAUAUUUUUAUUGUACAGUUGUAUUUAUUUUUAUAUUCUAUCCGUGUUCAUUGUGUUAACAUUACAUCAACAAAAUAGAAACAUUUAAAGGAGUUGAUAGAAAACAUAAUUGUAAAUCCUAAUAUUUUCUUCCCACAUCCAAACAGGCCACCUGGCUUUCCCACACAUCAACCUCGUGCUCACACCCCACUCUGGAGACCACCAGCUUCGAGGCAAAAAGAGAGAACGACGUACAAUGGGCAUCUUCCCUCAUCCACCCCAUUUCAAAGAGGGUUCUGCUUGCAGGAACUCAAAGCUCAGAGCUUUUAGCUUCCCAAAGCCCUAUUUCCAAACUAAAGCAAAGGUCCUUUAGAAUUUGCACGGCGGGCUGUGCAAAAUGAGAGAGAAGGAAAUCGCUGGCAGAAAUAUCCCCGAAGAAGGGAUUUCUCCCCCAAAGACCAGAAAGCAAUUCUUCUAGGUUAGGGGAAUGAGGAGACAUACAGAGAAAACAAGAGGCUUGGGAGUUCCUCAUGAAAGGACUGGACCUGGAGUGGCCAUGCAGGAGAGGUGCAAGGGACUUGGAGCCCCUGAAGCUUCAGGAGAGCUGCGUGGCCCAUGUCCUGCUGCACCGGCAGCCAUCACGCCCAUGAGCCCUGCCUGUGUCCAGAAACAGUGCUGCUGUCCUUGACCUCGUCACUCUGCAAGGACUUCGCUUCCCCAGCAGGCAGUUCACCUCUGGAUACCCCUCCCUGAUGCAAACUUUGCUCAUGUCAUGUCUAUCAAGAUCAAGAAAAUGGAGCCCAUAACUGAGAUCAGCACAUGGGUAAGGAAACUGCUGAAUGGAAGGAGCUCCAAGACCUGGAACUGAGACCGAAGCUGGCAACAUGGCGGGAUGUUGCACCCCCCACACACACGCUCACACGUGGUUUUCAUUCCUUCUUUCAUAUUACGGCGGGCGUGGAAUUACCAGUCAAUUUGACAUUUAUAAAUACAUUAACUAGCGCUUCCAAUUCUUCUCCUGCUUCCAAGUUUGUUCUCACCACCUCACAGAAAAUGCUGGGGACAGAAUUAAAUGCAGAGUAAUCUAAACAAGCUUUGAUAUGUCAUAUGUCUUUCCUACUGAAUAAGCUAAACCAACCAGGGUAAUUUAGUGAUACUUGGGCAAGAAAACUAGGAAUUACGCACACUUUCCUUUUCCAAAUUCCCCACAUGGAAGUCUGUGAAUUCUACUGCAAUUACAGUGGUAUAAUAAAAAAGAUAUGCUUGGCUUUUGUUCGUGUUCUUGGCAUAGACUUCCUAAAACCCUUGCAAUUCCUUGAGUGAUAGGAGUGUCUUUUGUUAUUCAUAAUGAGCCCUUUUCAAUUAUACCUGGGAUUAUGUGAGUGAAGUGGCUCUUGGCAGGACCCCUGGAUUGCCUCAGGAUGGGGGCUGGUUUGGUUGCCAGAGGAACCAAGCAUAUGAUUAGAGGGUAGAAAUUUUCACCAUCAUCCCCCCACCUCGGGGGAUAG
rnacentral:lncRNA from 10 species